GCACUGCUGAGUCCCAAAAUAGGACGAAACGGCCGUCCAGUAC
rfam:Schistosoma mattheei strain Denwood, Zambia genome assembly, scaffold: SMTD_scaffold0000279